ACGUCCCACACUCCAGAUGGACACCUAACGUCAUCUCUCUGGACUUCUUGUCCGUAAGGUUUUGCUUUUUGGGAAAAUUGACCUUUUCCCCUCUCGCCCAGCCAGUAGGAGCUAGAGGUCCAAUAGCCCGCGAAGAUGGAAAAAGAGGUCGGGGCUUUUCGGGAGCUGUCCCUGGAGAAAACUGACCUUGGAUGAGACCAGUGUAUGCUCAGAGUUAGAGCGCCGUCCUAGGGAACAUUCCACAACUGAAAACAUUUCUCUUCCUUCUAGCUCGACCCAACCCUAGAAAUUUGAAAUAGAACAAAAGUGGUUCUGUUGUUUUUCCUUUUUAAUUAACAGAAACCAUUCAGCCUAUUUUUAAGUAAAUUUUAAAGGGGAAAAAACAGACUAAGGACAUCAAGGAGGGUGAUGGUGGCCUGUGUUUCCAGUCAUCUGAGACAAACAGGAGAUGGUGCUAAAACAUUUAUUAUCUUUCUUUGCCAUUUACUCAGAGGACUUCGGGAGAUCACAGACAAGGAAAAGGAUUAUUUCCUUUUUGAAAAUAUUCAAACCUGUGGAAGGCAUUGGAAAAAUUGCUGUCAGUGGAAAUUUAUUUCCCAAGCUCUUCUAACAUUUCAGACACAAAUAUUAGACUACAUUAUGGACUUUUACUUAAGUAGACACUUCUUGUCCAUCUUUUCUUCAUGCAGUAAAGAAAGAACAUUGUGUAGGAGCUCUUUAGAGAUGCUCUUAGGAGCAUACUUUUGUGGAAGAGUGGGAAGAAAUAAUCACAACUUAAUAUCUCAGUUGAUGUGUGACUAUGUUUUCAAGUGUACAGCUUGUGAAAGUAGGUUUGAAGAAGUACUUGAGAUAGUGGAUGACUGUUUUGUUGAGUUGAAAGUUGGCGUCACUGGCCUCCCUGUUUCUGAUUCCAGGAUCAUAGCUGGGCUUGUGCUUCAGAGAGACUUUUCUGUGUACUGUCCAGCAGAUGGUGACAUAAGAAUAGCGAUAGUAACAGAAACCAUUCAGCCUCUUUUUUCAGUUUCUGGAUCAGAGUUUAUUCUAAAUUCAGAAGCACAGUUUCAGACAUCUCAGCUUUGGAUUACAGAAAGAACAAAAGCAAUAGUGAAACAUUUACAGAGUCAGAAUGUAAAAUUACUCCUAUCUACUGUGAAACAACCAGACUUAGUAAUUUAUUGUGCAGGACUGAAUGGCAUAUCUGUGGUGGAGUGUUUAUCACAUGAAGAACUUUCUCUUAUCCAGAGAGUCAUUGGUCUUGCUCCCUUUGCACUACCAGAGGCCUCUUCUCAGUAUGAACUCUCGCACACUGCUUUGGUGAAAUUCUGUAAACCCCUCAUCCUUAGAUCCAAAAGGUAUGUUCAUCUUGGCUUGGUGAGCACCUGCUCGUUUACACCGCACUGUGUAAUUCUUUGUGGACCCGUGCAGGGUCUCAUCGAACAACACGAGGAUGCUUUACAUGGAGCAUUUAAAAUGCUUCGGCAGGUAUUUAAAGACCUUGAUCUAAAUUAUGUGACACAAACCAGUGACCAAAAUUGUACAUCAGGUCCUCGUAUGUAUGAGAAUAGUAGAGAAAAGAAUGAGUUACCAAAAAUUGUUAACAGCUCAGUACAAAGGUCGUAUCAGGACACUGUUGUAAAGAACAAAGGUGAACUGACAAAAACUCAAACGAAUUUAAAAGUAUGUUCAAAUUUGAUAGUUCCAAAUGUCAAAUUAGAGAAAACUGUAUUGUGUUCAGCACCAAAAGUGGCAGUAACAGAUUCAUACCAGACAGAAGAAACAUUGAGAUGUUCAUCCCCAAACAAAGGGACGAUAAUGGAUGACCAUGAACCAUAUAUUGAGAGUAAUUCUGCUAACUCAACAACAGAAAAUACUAGAAGAGAAAUUUCUUACGAAAAUUUACAGGUUACAAAACUUGCUAGAAAGGACAGCAUGUUACCACUGAGAUAUAAGUCACUAGAGAUGUGUUCUUCCCAAAGUUACUAUUUCUCAUCUAUACCAGCUGGUUGUGUUUUGCCUGUGGGUGGUAAUUUUGAGAUCUUAUUGCAUUACUAUCUUCUCAACUAUGCCAAAAAAUGCCGGCAAUCAGAGCAAACCAUGGUUAGUAGGAUAAUAGCUAAUGCACUUUUAGGCGUUCCCAAAAUCUUGUAUAAGUCUAAGAAAGGAAAUUACAGCUUUCCACAAGUAUAUGUAAGAGCUCUCCAGGCACUACAAACCAAUCAACCCAUGAUAAGCAACCAGACAGGUUUGGAAUCAGUUGCUGGUAAAUACCAGUUACUAACUUCAGUUCUUCAGUGCUUGACAAACAUUUUGACUGUUGACUUAGUAAUCAAUAUUGAGAGACAACCUCAGGAAAUUUAUGAUCAAGAUUCAGAAGAGGAGCUAUAAAAUUGGAAGCUUUUUAUUAAUCAGAGUUUUAAUCCAACUCAAGCCAUAAAACAAGGCAGGCAUGUGACCACUGAUUUUCAAGUUAAUUCAACCUAGUUAGGAAAAUAGAACUUUAAAGUCUAGAGAUACGUGAGGCCACCAGACAUUCAGAUAUGAAUAGUGUAGAUUGCAUUCAUUAUGGAACAGUUCUGAGGAGGAAGCCUGGAUGAGUGAAGCCAAGGUCUGAGCUCUACUCAUCCCUCCAGUCAUGAAGCAGGCCCACAAAGGGAAAUGGAAAGGCCCAUGGCUCCACAUCACUAACAGCUAAGCUGUCCUUGGGAAGAAGAAAUUCUUCAAGUCAGCAGCUUCUUUGGAAACCGAGAAAGCAACCUCCUGAAACUGUAACCUGAACCAGUCUGCAAAGAUUUUAUACUCGCACAGACAGACGAUUUUGUCUUUGCCACACUGAGCAUCUUUAGGAGGCAGCCUGGCCUGGUACAGAAACCAGGGGCUUCACAGUGCCCCCUGUGUUUGAUCCUGGAUCUGCCACUUACUAGUCACAUGACCUUGAACAAACCACUUAAACUUGCUGU